GACGAACGCUGGCGGCGUGCCUAAUACAUGCAAGUAGAACGCUGAAACUUGGUGCUUGCACCGAGCGGAUGAGUUGCGAACGGGUGAGUAACGCGUAGGUAACCUGCCUGGUAGCGGGGGAUAACUAUUGGAAACGAUAGCUAAUACCGCAUAAGAGUAGAUGUUGCAUGACAUUUGCUUAAAAGGUGCAAUUGCACCACUACCAGAUGGACCUGCGUUGUAUUAGCUAGUUGGUGGGGUAACGGCUCACCAAGGCGACGAUACAUAGCCGACCUGAGAGGGUGAUCGGCCACACUGGGACUGAGACACGGCCCAGACUCCUACGGGAGGCAGCAGUAGGGAAUCUGCGGCAAUGGACGGAAGUCUGACCGAGCAACGCCGCGUGAGUGAAGAAGGUUUUCGGAUCGUAAAGCUCUGUUGUAAGAGAAGAACGAGUGUGAGAGUGGAAAGUUCACACUGUGACGGUAUCUUACCAGAAAGGGACGGCUAACUACGUG
rnacentral:rRNA from 1 species